GAAGCAGAUCGGGUGAUUGCCCUCGCGUAUAGUUUUGCGUAGCAAAACUGCGGGGGAGGAAAGUCCGGGCUCCCUAUAGCAGCGUAGCGGGUAACGCCCGUCCACCGCAAGGUGAGGAUCAGAGCCACAGAGACGAGUCUGCUUCGCUCUUCAAUAUGUGGACACAGGUAGAGCUUUGCAGGACCAAGGUCCUGGGUAGGGGUUUACCCCUACGAAGCCCGACCGGAGUUUUACAUAUUGACAGGCGAAGUAGGGUGAAACGCGGCAAUCUCUACGUGGAGCAAGACCAAAUAGGGAAGGAAUCAGGAAAGUCUGUUCAUGCGGACUGACUGGUGCGGGGUAGCUAGUCCCGCCAAACUUCCGGGUAGGUUGCACGAGGUCUUAAGCGAUUAAGGCCCCAGAUGGAUAAUCACCACCCCUCCUUUUGUUACUAUUUUAUAUUAGUUACAAAGGGAGGGGAGACAGAACCCGGCUUACAGAUCUGCUUCAAUG
rnacentral:RNase_P_RNA from 1 species